UCCCCGACCUCGACUGCGGAAAGGCUUCACCCGGACUCCUACGGGAGCCGGGCUCCACCCAUGCCUUCGCUCACAGGUAAACUUCAUCUGGACUCCUAAGGGAGCCGGACUUCAUCCCUGACUUCGAUUGCAGGUAGACUCAGCCCGGACUCCUACGGGAGCCGGAUCUCAUCCCCGACCUCGACUGCGGAAAGGCUUCAUCCGAACUCCUAUGGGAGCCGGGCUCCACCCACGCCUUUACUCACAGGUAAACUUCAUCCGGACUCCUAAGGGAGCCGGACUUCGCCCCUGACUUUGAUUGCAGGUAGACUUCACCCGGGCUCCUACGGGAGCCAGAUCUCGUCUCCAGCUCCAGCUGCGGGAAAACUUCAUCCAAGCUCCAACGAGAGCCGGGCCUCGUUUUCAAUUCUGACUGCGUAAGGACUUCGCCCGGACUCCUACGGGAGCCGGGCUCCACCCAC
rnacentral:lncRNA from 1 species